AUUGAACGCUGGCGGCAGGCCUAACACAUGCAAGUCGAACGAGUGGCGGACGGGUGAGUAGUGUCUGAAAAACUGCGUGAUGGAGGGGUAUAAAUAGUAGAAACGGUAGCAAAUACCGCAUAACAUCGUUUGUGCUCAGAUGGGAUUAGGUAGUAGGGGGGGGACAGGCUCACCUAGGCGAAGAUCCCUAGCUGUGCUGAGAGGAUGACCAGCCACACUGGAACUGAGACACGGUCCAGACUCCUACGGGAGGCAGCAGUGGGGAAUAUUGGACAAUGGGCGAAAGCCUGAUCCAGCCACGCCGCGUGUAUGAAGAAGGCCUUCGGGUUGUAAAUUACUUUCAGCGGGGAGGCGUUACCCGAAGAAGAAGCAACGGCUAACUCCGUGCCAGCAGCCGCGGUAAUAC
rnacentral:rRNA from 1 species